rnacentral:lncRNA from 1 species
AUAAUUAUAUAUUUAUAUGCAUAACGCAUCCACGUAUACACUCCCAUCAAUUGUUCAUAUAUAUUAUUCUCCUAGCUUAGUGGCCUAGAGAAACUUAUACAUUAUAGCGCCAAAAGUCCCGGAGAACUUGUGUAAUCCUCUCGUUUAUUGAUAACGAUUGAGACGAUCAAAAUACGUAUACAUAUUGAAAUUAUGGUCUCUAAACCAUAACGUAGGUACAUAAGCGGAUGCUGCCGAAGAAUAGAGAAUUAGGGAACCCCAAGUGGGUAGAAAAAGACGUAAACACAGCCGAUAAACUCAUAUGUCUUGUCCGAACAAAGGUACAACAUUAUUAUUUCUGGAAAAGCCCCACAAAUCUUUAGUGAAUUUGGAAGUUACACUAACUUCUUGUUGUGGCUCAAUCUUAUAUACGUAUGGGCAGCAAUGGACGAAAGGUGUUGGGGUCACAAUAAUGAAUAUAUAGGCCAAGAAGUUUUUUUUUUUUUGUAAGUAACGUAAAAGGCCUUAGAGGAAACUUCCUGGAAGCUGCCUUCUUGAUAUUGCGUCUAUGUACUUCUCACUUGCAUGUGGAAGAGAUGUUGUUAUCGACCCCCUUCUUUGGAUAGACAAUCUACAUGGUAUCUUUUGUCUUUGUUU